rnacentral:rRNA from 1 species
GACGAACGCUGGCGGCGUGCUUAACACAUGCAAGUCGAACGAUGAAGCUAGAGCUUGCUCUGGUGAAUUAGUGGCGAACGGGUGAGUAACACGUGAGUAACCUGCCCCGAACUCUGGGAUAACUGCUGGAAACGGUAGCUAAUACUGGAUACGACCUACGAAGGCAUCUUCUGUAGGUGGAAAGAACUUCGGUUCGGGAUGGACUCGCGGCCUAUCAGCUUGUUGGUGAGGUAAUGGCUCACCAAGGCGACGACGGGUAGCCGGCCUGAGAGGGUGACCGGCCACACUGGGACUGAGACACGGCCCAGACUCCUACGGGGGGCAGCAGUGGGGAAUAUUGCACAAUGGGCGCAAGCCUGAUGCAGCAACGCCGCGUGAGGGAUGACGGCCUUCGGGUUGUAAACCUCUUUUAGUAGGGAAGAAGCGAAAGUGACGGUACCUGCAGAAAAAGCACCGGCUAACUACGUGCCAGCCGCCGCGGUAA